UACAUAGGGGGCAAGCGUUGUCCGGAAUUAUUGGGCGUAAAGCGCGCGCAGGCGGUUCAUUAAGUCUGGUGUUUAAGGCUGUGGCUCAACCACAGUUCGCACUGGAAACUGGUGAACUUGAGUGUAGGAGAGGAAAGUGGAAUUCCACGUGUAGCGGUGAAAUGCGUAGAGAUGUGGAGGAACACCAGUGGCGAAGGCGACUUUCUGGCCUAUGACUGACGCUGAGGCGCGAAAGCGUGGGUAGCAAACAGG
rnacentral:rRNA from 1 species